AUUUAAUUAGUUUAAUAAAAAUAUUGGUUUGUGGUUCCGAAGAUAUAAAAAUUUAUAUUAAAUU
rnacentral:tRNA from 1 species